rnacentral:lncRNA from 1 species
AUGUGUAAGUUGAUGAUGCCACUGCAUAUGAUACCUAUCGUAAGACAGUGGUUCUCAAACCUUUAUCGAUUUGUAUCGAUCGAUAAUAAUAAAUUAAAUAAACAAAAUUUAAUAUUAUUAUUAUCCCUAAUUUAUUAUAAUCAAUAUCAAUCAUUUCUCGUCGAAUAUCACUUAACUUCUUAUCAAUAUCCAGUCAAAAAGACGACGUUUUCAUUAAAUCAAUGCAGUUACGUUCCUAACCUUAUUGCUAUUAAUCAUUACAAUCUAUAUAUGUAUAUACUCAUAUAUUAAAUGAUAUAUAAAAUAAUUAUUUAAAAAAAAACAAACGAUAUGACACGUGUUUACAAGUGUUUACAGAAUCUGUUGAUAGAACGCCACUGAUUAAACACGAAAGAACGAUAGUUCACGAGACUGCGCUGUUUGUCACGUCGAUAGUUAUUUCAGAGGUAGGAGGGUGGAAAAGAGGGAAAAAGGAAGGAGGGAAGGGUUUAUUACCUCGCUAUCAACGACAAACUUUUGUCUACUUUGUCUGUAAACAUAUCGUCUCGAAUUUAACGAUUAUUUUAUAUUUAUUCGUGUGCAAUAAUCUACUCUUCAAAAAAUAAUAUUCUAUAAGUGCAUUAGAAAAUGUAAAUGAAUAUAGAAAUGAUUUUUUUUAUCUCUUCCUACCAUUUGAAAAUUGGGAAAAAACGUAUCUACUGGAUCCCCCGUUGCUGAGCCUGUUAAUAUAACACCAUCAGCUAAAAAGAAUUCUGCAGCUUUGACUGUUUCUGCUAUAUUGAUAUCUGAUGUUAUCGCAUGUGAACUGCAUGGUUGAACAAAAAAUAUACAAUACACAAAUAUAAUAAAAUAACAAAACAAUUAAAUUAAACAAUUUAUACUUCAAUCUGUACCUAUGUUUCUUUUUGAUAUCCGCAAAGAUGAGUAUAUUCUCUGCGUCAAUAUGUUUUCUAUAACGAAGAAGAUUUCCUGAACAACCAUCUAUAAAACCUUCAUCUGCAAUAUGCGAAAAGAUAUAACCUUCGCUUCUAAUGAAAUUGAAAUCGGCUGCUUUGGCAACAGCUAAUGCUUCUUUAUUACAACCUGCUAAAAUCUGAACGGUAUCACUUUCCUAAUUUCAACGCAAACUUUUGUCAUCAUCGCUGUUGUUUCUGAUGAUAUAUCUUUAGAUUUAACAUAUGGUACGUCGUGCAUAUUUUCUACAAUAAUACCAUCCUAAAUGUAACACAAUAGUAAUAAAUAAUCAAGCAUAAAAAAGGACAUAA